AUUGAACGCUGGCGGCAGGCUUAACACAUGCAAGUCGAGCGAAGCGGCGGAGGGGUAAGUAUGGCCAAGGAAUCUGCCAGGUGGUGGGGGAAAGCGUCCGCAAAUGGGCGCUAACACCUAAUACUUGCAGUUGAUUCUAGGUCGGAUUCGCUCGUUGGGGGGGUAAAGGCCUACCAAGGCGACGACCAGUACCUGGUCUGAGAGGAUGAUCAGUCACACUGGAACUGGGACACGGUCCAUACUCCUACGGGAGGCAGCAGUGGGGAAUAUUGGGCAAUGGGCGAAAGCCUGAUACAGCCAUGCCGCGUGUGUGAAGAAGGUCUUCGGAUUGUAAAGCACUUUAAGUUGGGAGGCGUGACCAACAGAAUAAGCACCGGCUAACUUAGUGCCAGCAGCCGCGGUAAUAC
rnacentral:rRNA from 1 species